ensembl:lncRNA novel transcript
ACAGAUUUGCAGCUUUUAACCUGGAAGCUUCACAGCAAAGGCAAUUCGGCUUUACUUUGUUUCCCUUCGAAUCCCAAAGAAAGCAUUAUCUACUUUGUUACUAAACAGAGCAGGCAAUAUUUUAUAUUGCCAUAGUCAAUUAUGUGAGGCUGUGUAACCUUUUCCAGCUAUUACAGUCUUCAAAUCUUUCUGUGCUAAUGUUGCCAACAAUACAGAAGCAGCUUCAAAGCAUCUUUGCAGUGUUCGAAAGAGAAGACAGCUGGUACUGCUUAGAAACUAAGCUGCGAUGACCAGAUUUCUAAUUUAUAAAACUGGGGCAGCACACGUCAGGGGAACGUCGGCGGUGGUUUUGUGAAGGUAGCUCGUCUUCCCUGGAAGCACAGAACAAUGAGAGUCACAGCUUGCAUGUGACCGUUCCUAUCCACAGUCCCAGAAAAAUCUCAGACAUCAAUGACUGCCAGGAUGUCCGGCAAAACAGCCUCUUUUGUGGACAGGUUGAUGAAAAACAUCUAUUUUAAAGCAUCUCAGUCUCUUUGCUUGGAAUCCAUGCCUAUUCACAAACCUUAUGAUUAAAUUUUUGUUUCCACCGUUAGUCAAUUAACAUUAUGAUUUUACAAAAAUUGGGUUUAUUCACCCAGUUCAAGAGCUUGACAAGUGGGAGGGACACCUUUAUUCGCAGGAAUAAGGUGAUUCAAGAACUCCUGUCCUCAGACAAGAGCAGCUCCGGCCGGGUUUAUUUCACAGGAUCCGGAGUCCAGGCCGCCAGGCACUCUCUUUGUUUUUGUGACCGUUUUUUUGAAGCUCAACUUCCUCACAUCACAUGGAAGGAAAAAUAUGUAUUUUAUGUCCCAUUUUAUCAGAUUAACUGUUAGAGUUUUAGGGAACUUAGAUUUUCCAAAAGAAGAGUCCACGGAGGCAUAGAAAUAAUCAGUGACUGCCUCAAAUCACCGUCGCACUCCAGCCUGGUCCAUUCUGGGUCCAGGCACGCAGGGAACCGGCACGCACGGCGCCCACGGCUGCUCCGCGUCAGGUAAUGGGCCCCACGGCGGCCAGGGACGCACCCUAGCACCUGAGGUCAGCCUAGGGCCUCGACUCCCGGAAGUGAGAAGGCUGUGGCUUCGGGGACAGCCGGCUAGGCAAAGUGCCCGGGGCGGAAAUGCCUUCCAUGGUGCCCCCAGCUGGGGCCCAGCGGCAGCUCCCCGGAGACCAGGGGUUCCGCCCUCAGAGACUCAGAAUACCCCUGCCUGCGGCGACCUUGAGCCUCCUGACUUACUGAGCCUGAUGAGGCCUGCCCACGGGGGCGUUCACAGCUCCCUAGGGGCCUCCACUGAGCAGCCAGCUUUGACGCCACCGCUUUGGAGCCUCGCCUCAAGAACUGGCUGAGCGACAGCGAUCUUGGCAGGGAAGCGGAAGUGGUCAUGCCGAACCCAGCCUGUGCAACACCCGGCACUGCCAUCGCCCUGACACAGGAGGGGCUGCUUUUCCUUCUGACCUCAAACAGCUCCACGGAGAAGGGCUCAUGCCUUCCAGACCGUGGGCCUCAAUCCUGAAGGCUUCAGCCCACCUUGAGGAAUCUUUGGUAUCAUCGGAACCCAGCAGCUCAGGGGAACAAAGUCAGCAGCAGCAGGAACAACGCCUGGGCACCAGAAAGCAGCAUGGUACAGAAGGAGAAUGAGAGAAAAGGCAAGAAGCCCAGAGGCAGUUCUGGAACUUAGGGCACCUCUAAGCCCACAGCACCAAGUCCAGUAGGGAUUUUAAGGGUGGCUGGCACAACCAGGAUCAAGAAUGUGUCUUGGCCCAGCCAUCCUCGAUUGGGGUCUCUGGCUCCUUCUAGCCCCAUUGGCUGCCAAGGUAUCCAGCCAGUGGGUAGGGGUGAGUUACCCCAACUGGAGGGGCAGAUAGAAAUGUAAAAGUUUACCCUAUUGGUCACAACCAUGACUAGAAAUGUUGUGACUUCUGCACGCACUGCACUGCAGGAAGCCACUCCAUCUUUGGCAGGGAGGGAUGUCAUGCAACACUACGGACAUACUUAAACUGAAAAAAAAUAUUCCUACAAAGGGAAACACACUCUUACCAUAUAAUCCAGCAUUCAAACGCCUAGGCAUUUGCCCAAAUGAAUUUAAAGCUUACGUCCACACCAAAAUCUGCACACAGAUGUUUAUAGCAGCUCUAUUCUUAAUUCCAAAACUUGGAAGCAAGCAAGAUGUCCUUCACCAGGUGAAUGAGUAAGUCAACUGUGGUACAUCUAGACAAUGGAAUAUUAAUAGGAUUCAGGGCUAAAAAGAAAUGGGCUAUGAAGACAUGGAAAGAUAUGAAAGAAACUUAAAGGCACAUUACUAAGUGAAAGUAACCAAUCUGAAAAGACUGCAUACUGUACAAUUCCAACUUUACAACAUUCUGGGAAAGGAAAAACUAUGGAGGCAGUAAGAAGAUCAGUGGUUGCCAGGAGUUUAAGGGAGAGGGGGAUGAAUAAGCAGAGAUUCACAGAUCAUUAUGACUGUGAAAAUACUCUGUAUGAUACUAUAAUGGUGGACACAUAUCAUUAUACAUUUCUCAAAACCCAUACAACACCAAAAGUACAACACCAAGAGUGAAUUGUAAUGUAACCUGUGGACUUUGGGUGAUAAUGAUGUGUCAAUAUAGUUUCAUGAAUUAUAACACAUGUACCACUCUGCUGGUGGGGGAUGCAGAUAUGAGGGAGGAGGGUGGUCAGGAGUUAUAUAGGAACUCUUCUGUAUUUUCUGCUCAGUUUUACAGGGAACCCAAAAC